GGUGGUGCAUGGUUGUCGUCAGCUCGUGUCGUGAGAUGUUGGGUUAAGUCCCGCAACGAGCGCAACCCUUAUUACUAGUUGCCAGCAUUUAGUUGGGCACUCUAGUGAGACUGCCGGUGACAAACCGGAGGAAGGUGGGGAUGACGUCAAAUCAUCAUGCCCCUUAUGACCUGGGCUACACACGUGCUACAAUGGCGUAUACAACGAGUUGCCAACCCGCGAGGGUGAGCUAAUCUCUUAAAGUACGUCUCAGUUCGGAUUGUAGGCUGCAACUCGCCUACAUGAAGUCGGAAUCGCUAGUAAUCGCGGAUCAGCACGCCGCGGUGAAUACGUUCCCGGGUCUUGUACACAC
rnacentral:rRNA from 1 species